UGGCAGAUGGUAGAUCAUCAAUGCAGAAUUUUGGGUUGUUCUUUCUUUAAGGCUGUUUAUAGCCUGUGUUUGCAUUUUUCGUGAUGCGCAGAAGGUGGUGAAGGAUUCGUCGAGAGAUUCUAAUGGAGUUUGCCGGAAUGCUUUGGUGCUAUCCGGAAGCAAAAGACCGUCGUCGGGGUCUUUUCGGAGCAGUGAUGAUCGUCGAUUUAGCAAUGCCAAAAGAAUGAGAGUGGGUGUGUUCUGCGGGUGUUUGCAUUUUUCGUGAUGCGCAGAAGGUGGUGAAGGAUUCGUCGAGAGAUUCUAAUGGAGUUUGCCGGAAUGCUUUGGUGCUAUCCGGAAGCAAAAGACCGUCGUCGGAGUCUUUUCGGAGCAGUGAAGAUCGUCGAUUUAGCAAUGCCAGUUCUUCCUCAUGCUCUUCGUCAUAUGUUCUCCAUCUGUUUUCCCCCAGCCAUUUCUCCGCCUACAAUCGGAAAAUUCCAGUUAACUAAUUUUUGCAACCCUAGGUUGAUUCGCGUGCUCGUCAACGGUUGCGAGUACAGAAACCUCUGUAUCAAUGAGUCAACUCAGCCGUAGAAGCAACUGAUUGAGAAAUUUAUAAAAUGGCGAAGCCUCAAGUAACUAUCACUCUCGGCCGCUCCGGUCAGAAGGUGGUGAAGGAUUCAUCGAGAGAUUCUAAUGGAGUUCGCCGGAAUGCUUUGGUGCUAUCCGGAGGCAAAAGACCGUCGUCGGAGUCUUUUCGGAGCAGUGAUGUUCGUCGAUUUAGCAAUGCCAAAAGAAUGAGAGUGGGUGUGAGUGCACGGAGCUACGGGUACAACAGCCGUUUAGACGAUUGAAGAGAUCUUCGCCUGAAACUAACACGCAAGAGAAUGUGAAAGCAUAUAGAGCUCGAAAGCGAGAGGCGUAAAAAGAUGGAACUACACGACAAGGCAUCAAGAGCUACACCACCUUCUAGAAGGGCUGCUGAAACACAACCGAUAGGUUCAACGAUUAAAAAUUCUUAUGCUUCUUGGAAUUCAAAUGCAGCGAAAACGAGAUCCCCUCAAAGAAUUCCGAAAUAUUCUGGUGGAUUUUCUAACAACCCCAUGAAUUCUAUUGGUCAACUGCCUCAUGUACCAUCAAUUAGGCCGAUAGAUGCUUCAAGAGAAGAGCAUUUGUCGAUGAGGGAUGCCUUGGAAUCUUCUAGGCCAGAUUUACCUAUAUUCACCACUCCGAGAGGUUUUCUGGAUAAUGGCAAGAUGGUCACCGAUCUUCCUCCAGCAAUAGGUGGCAUGUCCAGACCUAUUUACCAGGUGAAAGCGAUGAGGCAACUACAACUUAGAAAAUUGAGGCGUGUGGCAAACAAGCAAAUGUGCCGCAAACCUCUGUAGCUGAAUUUAUGAUCUGCUUGGGGGGUCUCGUGUGCUCAUCAUAUUAAUAAGUUAACCUCAUUUUACAUAGUCUGGCCUUUGUGUGAGCAUCAUUAUUCAAUCACUCAACAAUUCGUGCGGGGGUGUUCUUCACGGGGCGCACAAAGCCGGACAAAUAUUUGCGGAUGAAGAAGAAAAUAUCUGAUUUAACACAGGAAAAAUUUAUCGUCGUCCUCAUCUUCCACCUCCAAUCUUUUUAAAUCCCACAGUUACUUUCUCAUGUUGCUUUAUGCAGAUAAUAAUUGAUUUCAGUUCUUAUGAUUUCAGAGCGCAUUUUCCGUAGGCAUGAUGCUCUUUUGUUUUUAUUGCAUGCCACACAUCCAAUUAAAAGCAGGCAAUUAAUAGCUUCAAGCAAUAGGACCGUGAAAGAAUGAGCCCUAAAAUGGGGAAAUUGACAUUCAUUAUCAGGGUCAGCUAUGAUGCCUCCUUAAUGCAUCAUUCUAAACUUACAUUGCCAGCUCAAGGUGAUCUUACGAGGGAAAGUAUUUUUAAGUGCAUCGUUGAUAUUUCCUCGAAAGUGUUCUUCUAUUUGGUUUAUUGUUUGGUACAAAUUGCUAUAGAUGGGUGGUUCUUUUGACGCUAAUAUGUUGGAUUUUUUUUAUAGGCUCCGUUGUUUCAAUUCUUGAUAAUUUGGAACCAUUGCUCCUAAUCAAAACGACUGUUAGAUUUCUUAGGGCCUCGUUUGGGAACAUUCGAUAGAGCUUCAUUAUAUUGUCUAUCAUGCCUAAUCAUGAUUGCCAAACAAGGCUUAAGAGUACAAAAUCAUCAUUUUUGUUAAUCCUUGCAGCUAAAAGAAAAGUUGGAGAAACGUCGAUUAAUGAAAUCAGCUCGAGAUCCCACGAAAUUAUUACAUUGGUAUAUUGUGAUUUUAUUUAAUUUAUUGUUUAUUUAUUCGAUAACUUUUGUCGCAGACUAUUGAAAGCUGUUCUCGUGACUUUUUUGGAAGGGACAAUGCGAGCACUCUUACAGCUGCUGUGAAUUUUGUCGAUUUGGCUGCAAGUGAACGAGCAUCUUAAUCGUUAUCAGCAGGCACAAGGUUAAAAGAAGGCUGUCGUAUUAACCGAAUAGAAUAUUCUGUUUAUUUGUUAUAUGUUGAUUGGGAAGAAGAUUAUUUCUUAGGCUGCAACUUUGCUGAAAUGUGUUGUCCAUUAUUUAUAGGUAUUGAUAUCCUCAAUCAAAAACAUAGUGUUGAAGAACUAAAAACAAUUUAUUUUCUCUCUGUUUUCGACAAUAUAAUUUUUGCAGUGAAAAAUCAAUAUUUGCAUACUAUAAUUUCUGUUUCGUAAAUCGUAUUACUCUAAAAACAGUUGGGACUGUGCUAUUUAUGCUCACUGUUACGCGCAGCUUUCCGAUUGUCGACUUCGGCAAUGCUUCGAUUGCUUCUUCGGGUUUCGGAAAUUUGUUCUGAUGAAUGAUGAUGGUGGAUUUGGUCAUAGAGACUGACAAGAAAUGCGAAGAACUCAUUUUCGA